GAAAUGCGAUAAGUAGUGUGAAUUGCAGAAUUCAGUGAAUCAUCGAAUCUUUGAACGCACAUUGCGCCCCUUGGUAUUCCAUGGGGCAUGCCUGUUCGAGCGUCAUUUGUACCUUCAAGCUCUGCUUGGUGUUGGGUGUUUGUCCUUGCUCUAGUGGCGGGACUCGCCUUAAAGUAAUUGGCAGCCAGUGUUUUGGUUUUGAAGCGCAGCACAAGUCGCGAUUCAAGUCUAUACGCUAGUUUCCACAAGUCUUUUAUCACUUUUGACCUCGGAUCAGGUAGGGAUACCCGCUGAACUUAA
rnacentral:misc_RNA from 1 species